rnacentral:rRNA from 1 species
GAUGAACGCUGGCGGCGUGCCUAAUACAUGCAAGUCGAGCGAACGGACGAGAAGCUUGCUUUUCUGAUGUUAGCGGCGGACGGGUGAGUAACACGUGGAUAACCUACCUAUAAGACUGGGAUAACUUCGGGAAACCGGAGCUCAUACCGGAUAAUAUUUUGAACCGCAUGGUUCAAAAGUGAAAGACGGUCUUGCUGUCACUUAUAGAUGGAUCCGCGCUGCAUUAGCUAGUUGGUAAGGUAACGGCUUACCAAGGCAACGAUGCAUAGCCGACCUGAGAGGGUGUUCGGCCACACUGGAACUGAGACACGGUCCAGACUCCUACGGGAGGCAGCAGUAGGGAAUCUUCCGCGAUGGGCGAAAGCCUGACGGUGCAACGCCGCGUGAGUGAUGAAGGUCUUCGGAUCGUAAAACUCUGUUAUUAGGGAAGAACAUAUGUGUAAGUAACUGUGCACAUCUUGACGGUACCUAGUCAGAAAGCCACGGCUAACUACGUG